rnacentral:rRNA from 1 species
AUUGAACGCUGGCGGCAGGCUUAACACAUGCAAGUCGAGCGAGCGGCGGACGGGUGAGUAAUGUAUGGGAAACUGCCUGAUGGAGGGGGCUCACUACUGGAAACGGUGGCUAAUACCGCAUACCAUCAGAUGUGUCCAGAUGGGAUUAGCUAUGAGGUGGGGUAAUGGCUCACCUAGGAGACGAGCCCUAGCUGGUCUGAGAGGAUGACCAGCCACACUGUAACUGAGACACGGUCCAGACUCCUACGGGAGGCAGCAGUGGGGAAUAUUGCACAAUGGGCGCAAGCCUGAUGCAGCCAUGCCGCGUGUGUGAAGAAGGCCUUCGGGUUGUAAAGUACUUUCAGCGGGGAGGCGUUACCCGCAGAAGAAGCACCGGCUAACUCCGUGCCAGCAGCCGCGGUAAUUC